GUGAACGCUGGCGGUAGGCCUAACACAUGCAAGUCGAACGGCAGCACAGUAAGAUCUUGCUCUUACGGGUGGCGAGUGGCGGACGGGUGAGGAAUACAUCGGAAUCUACUUUUUCGUGGGGGAUAACGUAGGGAAACUUACGCUAAUACCGCAUACGACCUACGGGUGAAAGCAGGGGAUCUUCGGACCUUGCGCGAUUGAAUGAGCCGAUGUCGGAUUAGCUAGUUGGCGAGGUAAAGGCCCACCAAGGCGACGAUCCGUAGCUGGUCUGAGAGGAUGAUCAGCCACACUGGAACUGAGACACGGUCCAGACUCCUACGGGAGGCAGCAGUGGGGAAUAUUGGACAAUGGGCGCAAGCCUGAUCCAGCCAUACCGCGUGAGUGAAGAAGGCCUUCGGGUUGUAAAGCCCUUUUGUUGGGAAAGAAAAGCAGCAGGUUAAUACCCCGCUGUUCUGACGGUACCCAAAGAAUAAGCACCGGCUAACUUCGUG
rnacentral:rRNA from 1 species